rnacentral:misc_RNA from 1 species
UUUCCGUAGGUGAACCUGCGGAAGGAUCAUUAAAGUUAUAGUCCCCUGGCCCUCUGGGCUGGGGUCUUCUAUACCACCCUUUGUUUAUCACACCUUUGUUGCUUUGGCAGGCCUGCCCUCGGGCUGCUGGCUCCGGCCGGCGAGCGCCUGCCAGAGGACCUAAACUCUGUUUGUCUAUAAUGUCUGAGUACUAUAUAAUAGUUAAAACUUUCAACAACGGAUCUCUUGGUUCUG